GUUCACUUCUACAAACUUUAAUAAAAUAUCUGGCAUAUGAAAAAAAAUUGAAAGAUGCAUGAAUAUGUACAAUUUUAAUUUUCGAAAUCGUCUGGCAUCUCUGAUCCACGUUUCGAUAAUUUUUGACGUGAAUUUGACAUAAGACAUGAACGCUCUGGGUAACGGUUCGAGUUCAAUUUUACGAUUACAGAAAAAUUGAUGAAAAUCGUUCAUACCAUUCUAUCACCUUUACAGAUACCAUCACUUUUUCACAGAAAGGUUCAUGUUUCAUUUUUAUCGUUCAAAUUUUUCGUCGAAGUAAAGUUUAAUAAAACAGCUACGUUUACACUGAAAAUCACUUUUUCUGAAGCUGUAGAUGAAUCGUAUAAACUGUUUGAGAUAUAGUUUUUUAGUAUGCGGGAAAGAUUCCCAAAAUAUUAGUUUGAAUAGGAUGGUACUGAUAGUUAACUCGACUUCCUGGUGCUGUUUGUACACAUAAAAAAGAAGGUUGAACUAUACAUGGAUGAUGUCAAAAUAAACUUGCCAGAACUGCAAUCCAUUGUGUACUCAAUAUCGAUUCCUGGGGCGCUGGCGUAAAGCUGUGAGAAAUGAACAAAGACUCCCCCAGCCAUGGAAGCGUGAUGCGUGAGAUACACAGCAUACCAGAUGGGGUCCUGGAGGUGUUUGGUGUCGUUUUGUUCAAACCAAUUCGCCUGGGUCAAGCACGUAACGUUCGCUUCAAGAUUUUCCCCACCCUGCCGGUUCAGGCCGACGGGAAACCCUGGAUGCAGACACCUUGGCCCUUAUUCUGCGCCGCGCGUGACGUGAGGAUUGGCGAGUCACUUCAGAGUCACGUGAGUCCCGUCACCUUAUUCCCGGAGUCGAUAUAGGUGAGGUGACAGCAAGUGACAGUCGUGAGAGCAUGGUUCAUUUCCAGUGAGUGACUUGAGUGAAACCCAAAAUGGCCGAACUGUCAAACGCGAAUUAGUUGGGUUUAAUUUUCUCUACGAAGAAAUAUUCAGUUUGUAGAAAACGGAAUUUGUUAAUUCCAUGGACAAAUAUGUGUAAAAAGAAGCGUUCCCCAAUAACAAAAAAGUUGACGAGAGUGGCCGGUCGAAAAUUAAGUCACCCUUGGUGCGGAAAAAGACGGUGGAGGAAAUACAGCUGGUAUGGCUAGGCUCUGAUGGAUAAAAAUUUCAAGAGUGCGUUGGCCAGUUGAUUCCGGAUCACAAACAGGCAUCUUCGUUUGGGUCGGAUUUGCUCCGGAAGAGUAAGAGCUUUUUCUGCUGGAAGCACAAAUGACUUUUAACCGAAUCGAGUCUUCAUUCGAAUCUUCCUGAAAACAACACCUUCAGUUCCGGUAACAACCAUCCUCGUUUCUUCAAAAAACUGACUAUCAACGACAAUGGAAAAAGUUACAGAACAAACACUCCAAUAAUAAUACUAUCGGAAGUAGGCCACCUGAACACCUGAUUAUGAGUUUACAGCGCGGUAAAUUGGCCAACUUUUCUUCCACAGUUCCAUCUUCAAUACCGGAUGAAAAUAAUGCCCAAGUUGAUGAUUGCUUCCCUCAUCGUUUGCGCCAAUACAUUGGAAUCCAUUCGCCGAAGUCUGUAGAAAAAAAGGCAACAAAAUUGCUCUCGUAUAAAAGCAUACCUUCAGAGAUGAUAAUUAAUUCUUUUUACUUAAAAAAUGGCAUUAAAAUAAGAAUAAAAAAAAACUGGCUAACUGAUUGCAGAAUCAGGAUUUGAAAUCCAAAAUAUAGAAUAAAAAGUAAAAAAUAAA